rfam:Populus trichocarpa scaffold_10_contig_195, whole genome shotgun sequence.
UUUAGAACUCGAGAUAUGGGCUGACAUGAAUAGUGUCUGAGCUGCAGGACAGAUUCUAACUUCUCCGUUGUUGCUACAAUUUGAACUUGAAAACAACCCUUUUGAAUCUUGAACUCUUCAUGAAAUAACCAAAUGCUUUCCAUC